GGUCACAUCACAUUGAAACCCCAGUUCCUGUACGAUCACCAAAGUCAAGCAACAUUAAGCCUAGUCAGUACUUAGAUGGGUGACCGCUUGGGAAUAUUAGGGGAUGUAA